rnacentral:rRNA from 1 species
GACGAACGCUGGCGGCGUGCUUAACACAUGCAAGUCGAACGGAAAGGCCCUGCUUUUGUGGGGUGCUCGAGUGGCGAACGGGUGAGUAACACGUGAGUAACCUGCCCUUGCCUUUGGGAUAACUUCAGGAAACUGGGGCUAAUACCGGAUAGGAGCUCCUGCUGCAUGGUGGGGGUUGGAAAGUUUCGGCGGUUGGGGAUGGACUCGCGGCUUAUCAGCUUGUUGGUGGGGUAGUGGCUUACCAAGGCUUUGACGGGUAGCCGGCCUGAGAGGGUGACCGGCCACAUUGGGACUGAGAUACGACCCAGACUACUACGGGACGCGGCGGAGGGGAAUAUUGCACAAGGGGCGGAGGCCUGAUGCAGCAACGCCGCGUGCGGGAUGAGGGCCUUCGGGUUGUAAACCGCUUACGCCUGUGACGAAGCGUGAGUGACGGUAAUGGGUGAAGAAGCACCGGCUAACUACGUG